rnacentral:rRNA from 1 species
UUCGCCCUUAGAGUUUGAUCCUGGCUCAGGACGAACGCUGGCGGCGUGCUUAACACAUGCAAGUCGAACGGAGCACCCCUGAAGGAGUUUUCGGACAACGGAUGGGAAUGCUUAGUGGCGGACUGGUGAGUAACGCGUGAGGAACCUGCCUUCCAGAGGGGGACAACAGUUGGAAACGACUGCUAAUACCGCAUGAUGCGUUGGAGCCGCAUGACUCUGACGUCAAAGAUUUAUCGCUGGAAGAUGGCCUCGCGUCUGAUUAGCUAGUUGGUGAGGUAACGGCCCACCAAGGCGACGAUCAGUAGCCGGACUGAGAGGUUGGCCGGCCACAUUGGGACUGAGAUACGGCCCAGACUCCUACGGGAGGCAGCAGUGGGGAAUAUUGGGCAAUGGACGCAAGUCUGACCCAGCAACGCCGCGUGAAGGAAGAAGGCUUUCGGGUUUGUAAACUUUUUUUAAGGGGGAAGAGCAGAAGACGGUACCCCUUGAAUAAGCCACGGCUAACUACGUGCCAGCAGCCGCGGUAAUACGUAGGUGGCAAGCGUUGUCCGGAUUUACUGGGUGUAAAGGGCGUGCAGCCGGGAAGACAAGUCAGAUGUGAAAUCCCGCGGCUCAACCGCGGAACUGCAUUUGAAACUGUUUUUCUUGAGUAUCGGAGAGGUAAUCGGAAUUCCUAGUGUAGCGGUGAAAUGCGUCGAUAUAAAAAAGAACACCAGUGGCGAAGGCGGAUUACUGGACGACAACUGACGGUGAGGCGCGAAAGCGUGGGGACCUUAAAGGAUUAGAUCCCCUGGUAGUCCACGCUGUAAACCCCUUAAUUGAGGUGUGCGGGGGACUGACCCCCUGCGUGCGGGGAGUUAACACAAUAGGUAUUGCACCCUGGGGAGUACGAUCGCAAGGUUGAAACUCAAAGGAAUUGACGGGGGGCCCGCACAAGCGGUAGAUUAUGUGGUUUAAUUGGAAGCAACGGGAAGAACCUUACCAGGGCUUGACAUCCUGCUAACGAAGUAGAGAUACAUCAGGUGCCCUUCGGGGAAAGCAGAGACAGGUGGUGCAUGGUUGUCGUCAGCUCGUGUCGUGAGAUGUUGGGUUAAGUCCCGCAACGAGCGCAACCCCUAUUGUUAGUUGCUACGCAAGAGCACUCUAGCGAGACUGCCGUUGACAAAACGGAGGAAGGCGGGGACGACGUCAAAUCAUCAUGCCCCUUAUGUCCUGGGCUACACACGUAAUACAAUGGCGGUCAACAGAGGGAUGCAAAGCCGCGAGGCAGAGCGAACCCCCAAAAGCCGUCCCAGUUCGGAUCGCAGGCUGCAACCCGCCUGCGUGAAGUCGGAAUCGCUAGUAAUCGCGGAUCAGCAUGCCGCGGUGAAUACGUUCCCGGGCCUUGUACUCACCGCCCGUCAC